rnacentral:rRNA from 1 species
GACGAACGCUGGCGGCGUGCCUAAUACAUGCAAGUAGAACGCUGAAGGAGGAGCUUGCUCUUCUGGAUGAGUUGCGAACGGGUGAGUAACGCGUAGGUAACCUGCCUGGUAGCGGGGGAUAACUAUUGGAAACGAUAGCUAAUACCGCAUAAGAGUAGAUGUUGCAUGACAUUUACUUAAAAGGUGCAAUUGCAUCACUACCAGAUGGACCUGCGUUGUAUUAGCUAGUUGGUGGGGUAACGGCUUACCAAGGCGACGAUACAUAGCCGACCUGAGAGGGUGAUCGGCCACACUGGGACUGAGACACGGCCCAGACUCCUACGGGAGGCAGCAGUAGGGAAUCUUCGGCAAUGGACGGAAGUCUGACCGAGCAACGCCGCGUGAGUGAAGAAGGUUUUCGGAUCGUAAAGCUCUGUUGUAAGAGAAGAACGAGUGUGAGAGUGGAAAGUUCACCCUGUGACGGUAUCUUACCAGAAAGGGACGGCUAACUACGUG